UUCAUGGCGUACAUUUGGGGAAAUGCUGCCAUACGUGACAUAUGAUACAUUCGAGUGGAGAAAAUGGCCGGACUAAGAAAUUUGGCCAUGUGCCAAGUACCUCGUGUGGGCAGGCCCUGUGCUGGACCCUGAAGGGACGCAAACACGCCCCAGGAUCCAAAUAUUGAGGUGGACCGAGCAGCUCUGGGUGACCACCUGCACCAUUAAUGAUAUCGCUGACUGGGGCACAGGAAACAGAACAUUCCAUUCUUCACAU